rfam:Haliaeetus albicilla contig63479, whole genome shotgun sequence.
ACAAUGGUUUUAUUUAAAACCAUCUCUUUCCAACAUCUAACUGGAGU